rnacentral:rRNA from 1 species
UGGUGGAGUGAUUUGUCUGGUUAAUUCCGAUAACGAACGAGACCUUAACCUGCUAACUAGUUCAGUUCUGAAUAAGAAUUGUAACUUCUUAGAGGGACUAUGUGUGUUAAGUACAUGGAAGUUUGAGGCAAUAACA